rnacentral:rRNA from 1 species
GAUGAACGCUGGCGGCGUGCCUAAUACAUGCCAGUCGAGCGAACAGACGAGGAGCUUGCUCCUCUGACGUUAGCGGCGGACGGGUGAGUAACACGUGGAUAACCUACCUAUAAGACUGGGAUAACUUCGGGAAACCGGAGCUAAUACCGGAUAAUAUAUUGAACCGCAUGGUUCAAUAGUGAAAGACGGUUUUGCUUUCACUUAUAGAUGGAUCCGCGCCGCAUUAGCUAGUUGGUAAGGUAACGGCUUACCAAGGCAACGAUGCGUAGCCGACCUGAGAGGGUGAUCGGCCACACUGGAACUGAGACACGGUCCAGACUCCUACGGGAGGCAGCAGUAGGGAAUCUUCCGCAAUGGGCGAAAGCUUGACGGAGCAACGCCGCGUGAGUGAUGAAGGUCUUCGGAUCGUAAAACUCUGUUAUUAGGGAAGAACAAAUGUGUAAGUAACUAUGAACGUCUUGACGGUACCUAAUCAGAAAGCCACGGCUAACUACGUG